rnacentral:rRNA from 1 species
ACGAACGCUGGCGGCGUGCUUAACCCAUGCCAGUCGAACGGUGAAGCGCCUUCCUUUUUGGUGGGUGUGGAUGAGUGGCGAACGGGUGAGUAACACGUGAGUAACCUGCCCCCUUCUUCUGGAUAACCGCAUGAAAGUGUGGCUAAUACGGGAUAUUCUGGGUCUGUCGCAUGAUGGGUCUGGGAAAGAUAUUGUUUCGGUGGGGGAUGGGCUCGCGGCCUAUCAGCUUGUUGGUGGGGUGAUGGCCUACCAAGGCGGUGACGGGUAGCCGGCCUGGGAGGGUGGCCGGUCCGGCUGGGACUGAGACACGGCCCAGACUCCUACGGGAGGCAGCAGGGGGGAAUAGUGCACAAUGGGCGCAAGCCUGAUGCAGCGACGCCGCGUGAGGGAUGGAGGCCUGCGGGUUGUGAACCUCUUUCGCCAGUGAAGCAGGCCUGCCUCGUUUGUGGGUGGGUUGACGGUAGCUGGAUAAGAAGCGCCGGCUAACUACGUG